UCCUUCUUGGUAUAGUGGUAAACCCAUUUGUCUUCUGCCGGUAAAAAGUCAGAAGGUCUUGUGUUCAAAUCCCAUUGGGGGAU